UAUCUUCCAGAUGGAGAGACCAGCAAC
rnacentral:piRNA from 1 species